GUUGCCUUCUGUGCUGGCUUCUGCAAGUGCACGUCGGUGACUUUCAUUCCAAUACCCUUGUGAACCUUUGGCCUCUUGCUAGCUUCCGCUGGCAGAGGAUUCUACAUACAACUCGAAUGUAAUGAAACUCUUGUUGUGCACAAGCACUACUAUAUACAACUUUCAACAACGGAUCUCUUGGCUCUCGCAUCGAUGAAGAACGCAGCGAAAUGCGAUAAGUAAUGUGAAUUGCAGAAUUCAGUGAAUCAUCGAAUCUUUGAACGCACCUUGCACCCUUUGGCAUUCUGAAGGGUAUGCUCGUUUGAGUGUCAUUGUACUCUCACACUUCCGAUCUUGAAUUGGGAGCGGUGGACUUGGGUUUGCUGCUUUACCGUAGCUUACCUCAAAUGUGUUAGUGCAGCUCUUGGUUGGACAUAAUACGGCGUGAUAAGUAUCUUCGCCGGUGCCUCGCAAAGAGGGUGGCCGAUCAGGAUGGUGUGCUCCAAACCGUCUUCGGACAAUCUCUGACAACUUGACCUCAAAUCGAGUAAGACUACCCGCUGAACUUAAGCAUAUCAAUAAGNCGGGA
rnacentral:rRNA from 1 species